rnacentral:rRNA from 1 species
CGAACGAUGAACCUCACUUGUGGGGGGAUUAGUGGCGAACGGGUGAGUAACACGUGAGUAACCUGCCCUUGACUCUGGGAUAAGCCUGGGAAACUGGGUCUAAUACCGGAUAUGACUCCUCAUCGCAUGGUGGGGGGUGGAAAGCUUUUUGUGGUUUUGGAUGGACUCGCGGCCUAUCAGCUUGUUGGUGAGGUAAUGGCUUACCAAGGCGACGACGGGUAGCCGGCCUGAGAGGGUGACCGGCCACACUGGGACUGAGACACGGCCCAGACUCCUACGGGAGGCAGCAGUGGGGAAUAUUGCACAAUGGGCGCAAGCCUGAUGCAGCGACGCCGCGUGAGGGAUGACGGCCUUCGGGUUGUAAACCUCUUUCAGUAGGGAAGAAGCCGCAAGGUGACGGUACCUGCAGAAGAAGCGCCGGCUAACUACGUGCCAGCAGCCGCGGUAAUACGUAGGGCGCAAGCGUUAUCCGGAAUUAUUGGGCGUAAAGAGCUCGUAGGCGGUUUGUCGCGUCUGCCGUGAAAGUCCGGGGCUCAACUCCGGAUCUGCGGUGGGUACGGGCAGACUAGAGUGAUGUAGGGGAGACUGGAAUUCCUGGUGUAGCGGUGAAAUGCGCAGAUAUCAGGAGGAACACCGAUGGCGAAGGCAGGUCUCUGGGCAUUAACUGACGCUGAGGAGCGAAAGC